UACGAGGGGAGCAAGCGUUGUUCGGAUUUACUGGGCGUAAAGGGCGCGUAGGCGGUCGUGACAAGUCACUUGUGAAAUCUCCGGGCUUAACUCGGAACGGUCAAGUGAUACUGUCGGACUAGAGUACAGAAGGGGCAACUGGAAUUCUCGGUGUAGCGGUGAAAUGCGUAGAUAUUAGGAAGAACACCAGUGGCGAAGGCGGCUCACUGGCCCGGUACUGACGCUGAGGCGCGAAAGCGUGGGGAGCAAACAGG
rnacentral:rRNA from 1 species